rnacentral:rRNA from 1 species
GCAUAUCAAUAAGCGGAGGAAAAGAAACUAACAAGGAUUCCCCUAGUAACGGCGAGUGAAGCGGGAAGAGCUCAAAUUUGAAAUCUGGUAGCCUUCGGUUGCCCGAGUUGUAAUCUAGAGAAAUGUUUUCCGUGCCGGCCCAUGUACAAGUCCCUUGGAACAGGGCGUCAUAGAGGGUGAGAAUCCCGUCCUUGACAUGGACCCCCGGUGCUUUGUGAUACAUUUUCAACGAGUCGAGUUGUUUGGGAAUGCAGCUCAAAAUGGGUGGUGAAUUCCAUCUAAAGCUAAAUAUUGGCGAGAGACCGAUAGCGAACAAGUACCGUGAGGGAAAGAUGAAAAGCACUUUGGAAAGAGAGUUAAACAGUACGUGAAAUUGUUGAAAGGGAAACGAUUGAAGUCAGUCAUGCUCUUUGGUAUUUAUAUCAUUGAGUGGGGUCAACAUCAGUUUUGAUCGAUGGAUAAAGGCACAAGGAAGGUAGCACUCUCGGGUGAACUUAUAGCCUAGCGUCAUAUACAUUGAUUGGGACUGAGGAACGCAGCAUGCCUUUAUGGCCGGGAUUCGUCCACGUACAUGCUUAGGAUGUUGACAUAAUGGCUUUAAACGACCCGUCUUGAAACACGGACC